GUAUAAUAUUGGUUUCUUGCAUAUAUGGACAACAUUAAUUAUAAAUAUGUGACAUACAUAUUUGUUUUCCACAUAUUUAAUAAAUGUAUGUAAACAUACAUGCAUGUGAUACUGAUGCAUUUUUAAAGCUGUGGCAUAUGGUUAUGGUACUUUGUGGAUGUAUUUGUCAAAAAUGACAAAGAAAGCACUGCAUUAUUGUAUUAAAAAUACUAUAUUAUGAAGUCCUGUUAGUUUUGUGACCUAAAGACCCCCCCAGGAUCACCAUCAGACAGGUUUUUGCUUUUAUACAGCAAGUAAAAAUUAUCUGGUCAGAUCAUCUUUAAAUAUGUAAGUGAGUGUUCAAGAAGAUUUGAAAUGUAUGAUCAUUAUGGGGAAUCAACAGCUAUUUUAAUUACUUUGAACAAAAAUGACUGCAUUAGUUCAGAAAACUGCCAGCUAAGUCUGUGUAUAUUAACAAACAGUGAUAAGUUGAUACUGAUUAUUAUUAAUAAUCACAAAUCAAUUACAUUAUUAUUUUUAUUUUAUUAUUUUAUUUUAUUUUAGUUUUUUAUUUUAUUUGUGCAGGGAUUGGUAAAGUUAAUAAAUAAAUAAAUAACCAAAUGUUAUUUUUUGGUUGCUUUUAUAUCUUUUAGUAUAGUGUUUGUUAAGCGAAUUUACAUAUUAUUAUUAUUAGCCUAUUAUUAAAUCGUGUUAAAUGUAUUGCUUAAUUAAUAAUAAAUAGUCAAAAGAACAUAAUAAAAACUUCCUCCACUGCCUAUUGAAUGCGCUACACCCAGUCCAGUAGGAGGCGCUAAUGACCCUUCAGUUGCCAAUCGCCACUCAGGCCAAAAGCGCAGAAGAACAAAAAUGACCGGGAAAAUCUGACAGGACUGAGAAGAUGACAACAGCACAGCGGGGUUUUAGAAGCCCAUCAGAGUGAUUUUCUGAGUUCUUUCACAUAUGCUGUAUGGUCAGCGAAUGGAUGGAUUAUCCAGUCACGGUACAUAAUAAAAGACUUGACUGAGUUAGAAGAAGCUGAGCGACUCUUCAGAGUGAAGAUGUUAUGAUGCAGUUAUGUCAAAGCACUCGUUUCGGCUGGCAAGAUUGGAACAGAACCUGAAUGGGAAGAUGGCAGAGCUAAGACUGGCAAUUUCCAGGAAAAAUGUUUACUAAAAAUGAGUGUGUUUUUUCCCAGCGAGAGAGUUUGGGAAUGUUUUAAAUGUGUCUAGAAGUUUGAAAAUGUAAUACUGAGGGAAAAAAGUGAGCGCUUUGAAAAGGCUUUAAAAAGAAAAAAAAGUCUGAAGUUGAUGUGAAAUGAAGUUAAAGUUUUUACUUGAAAAGUUUGUACUGUACUUGUUUGUACUUGUCAAGUCUGUGCUGAAAAAAAUGCAGUAAAGGUUGUAUUUGAAAAGACUUGGAAUUGUGUGUUCUGUAGAAUGAGUACAAAUAUAUGU